ACAAAAGGGAAAAAGGCGUGGCGGGCGCAAGCUCGUUUCACGUUCUGCUCCCGAAAAUCCUGUAUUCACCCCAAGUUCCUUAAAAAUUUCAAUAAAAACUUUGCAAAAGACCACUUUAUUAAAGUGGCAUCUAAUUGCACAAAGCGA
rnacentral:misc_RNA from 1 species